CCUACGGGAGUCAGCAGUAGGGAAUCUUUCACAAUGGGCGAAAGCCUGAUGGAGCAACGCCGCGUGCAGGAUGAAGGCCUUCGGGUUGUAAACGGCUUUUAUAAGCGAGAAAGAUGAUGGUAACUUAUGAAUAAGGAACGGCUACCUACGUGCCAGCAGCCGCGGUCAUACGUAGGAUCCGAGCAUUAUCCGGAGUGACUGGGUGUCAAGAGUGGCGUAGGUGGCAUAAUAAGUAGCUAGUGAAAUCUGGUGGCUCAACCAUUCAGACUAUUAGCUAAACUGUUAAGCUCGAGACCGUUAGGGGUAACUGGAAUUUCUAGUGUAGUAGUGAAAUCCGUAGAUAUUAGCAGGAACACCAAUGGCGUAGGCAGGUUGCUGGGACGGUUCUGACACUCAGGCACGAAAGCGUCGGGAGCAAACAGGAUUAGAUACCCCUGUAGUC
rnacentral:rRNA from 1 species